GUAAGGGAGUUAUCUGUGUGUCUGUCAUUGUAUUUGAAAUAGUGUAGUUUUUCAAGCACCUCCCAAUAACUUCAGUUGCGUGUUUUGUUUGUGUUUUAAUUAAUAUGUCGAUAUUAUUAUUUGAUAUGUUAUAUAUCCUUUAAACAAAACUAUUUUAAUUAAUCAUUUACAUUGAACCUUUGUGAAAAAAUAAAUUGGAAAACUGGAAAAAUAGGCAAUGCAAUUCAUAUCAGAAAAGUACCGUUUUUCUCCAUCAGUGAUCGGUUUUUUCAAAGGAAAACACCAAUGGGCGCAGCUCGAGCGCGGCGUGUGAGAGUAGCGCGGUGAAGAGCGCGGCGGCGAGCGCGACGAGCUGCGCGCGCGCACACAGCAGCUGGCGCGCCGCGCACGCCGCCGCCAGCCCCGCGUGCCGCGCGCCCAGCGUCGCCGCCCACGGCCCGCGCCACCCCGCGCCGCCGAUGCACGCGCCCGCCUGCACGUGAAGUUUUUUAUGCAAUCUACAUUUUUUAUUUAAUGAAUCCCAAAAUUAUAAACUAGCAAAUAAUCCAUCUAAUUGAAAAUGGCAAUCGUCUCUUAAAGACCUGAACGGCAUCAUGGAUACUAAACAGGGGGUAGAAAUCGCAAUAUCAUAAUCACCAGCGAUGGAAACGAAUGAACGGUGUAUUCUGUGAUGGAUAUCUGAUGGUCUUGUUUAUGUCUAUAUUCUAUAGGCGACGAUUACAAGAUUAUACUAGAAAAAAUAAACGUUUGUUCCCCAAGAAAAGUCUGCAUUAUAUACUAAUUUCAAGAUCUCCGGCUAUUAUGACAGUAAACCAAUGUGGUCGGGGACAGACCAACUGGGAUCUGACCUGAAGUACGUCCCACAAGGCGGCACAAGCGCCCCAGGCGGCGGCGGCGACGGCGGGCAGCGCCAGGUCAGUGCGGGCAGCGCGCCAACGCAGCAGCGCGAGCAUCAGCGACGCGUGCGCCGCCGCCCCGCCCGCCGCCAGCGCACCGCGCCGGCCCCGCGCCGCUGCCAUGCUAAGAGUCGCCGCUGCCAAUGCCUGCGAGUCGGGACAGACGAUUGUUAGUAGUAAGAUCUGGUCCUAAAUAAAAAGUACAGCGAGUUUUGCGUGCCAGGCAGUGUUGGAUUGCUCGAAAGAUUACAAGCAGCGAAGAUGGAAGAAGAGAAUCCUACUCGGUCGACUACCACAACACCAGACGCGAUAACUCUUAUCUGUGCACGUUCUUUAUAUUUCAGUUGUCCAGUUACCUUACUUAUGUAAUAAAAUUAUCUGCACAUGGGAGAUACUUAAGAAAAAUUAA